GGGACGGAGCGGUGCUCGAUGGAAUUAGUGUCCCCGGGCACUCGGGGCUGCGUGGGUGCCGCUAACGGGCUUGGGUGAAAAGAACAGACAGCAAGGAUUAAUGCAAGAGGAAAGGGGAUGGAGCAGAGCUUCAGACAUCAUCUGCUUACGUGCCUGACCAGAUGCUGAGGAAUACGUCUGGUCCAGGUAGCUGGGAUCGCAAGCUGCCGAUUGAAAUCUAGGUUAAGCUUUGGGUGGGAGCCUGAGACAAGAGGCCGUGAGCUGCCAGCCUUCGGGAUAUCCAAGGGCGCGAAGAUGGGAGAUGCUGGUCAGGUGAACAGACUCUGGGAAACACAGCAGGAGCCUGGAAUUGCCUCUUUGGGUAACAAAGGAGAUGAAGACCGGUGACGCCAGCGAAGUCCUUGAGCAUGGAGAGUGGGACAAGAGCCCAUGGCUCGGGCGGAAGAGCGAGACUGGCUCAGGGGGCCCCUGUGAGGCUGCAGAAGCCCAGAGGUUCUUUGUGUAGGUGCUCUGCUCAGAGGCACCAGCUCGAGCUGUGUCUGUGUCACUGCACAGGAAUAAACUGCUCUAUGGAACGAGGUAUCUGAGACUCUGCUGUGGGAGGCCGGGGUCGAGCCGGUGAGGGAGCCUGGUGUGACCGUGUGAGAGUGGCGGGGUGCGGGGAGAUGCGUCAGGCCUCGCCUCAGCAGAGCCUUUGGCCCUGUGACACCUUUGGGCUGUGGGACUCAGAGUUCUGUGGAUGGCCAGACUGGAAGUUUCCCUAACAGCCAUGGCACACUCAGAAAGUUACUUUCUGAUAAGUGUGGCUAAGUUGGCACUGACACAGGAAUACAAACAUGGCAGAUGGCCUGUAUAAAAACGUAGUACAGAAAGCAAAAUAUUUGCCAUCUUAGAAGAAAGGCAAGUUUUUAUUUACAAGAUGGCAACAUGGGAUAAACAUGAGUCAUCUCUGUGCUCUUCAGGAGAAAGAAUCUCAUCUUUUCAACUGGACACAUGCUCAGCCGCAAAAUAAUUUUGUUUGUAUAGGUUACUCCCCAGCUAAGACCAGGAAACCCUAAUUCUAUGUCAAGUAUUUCAGAAUGGUAUCAAUAAAAAACCAUGUGAUUACAAUGCCAGCUUCAGUUGAUGACUGGGAUAGCUGAAUGGACUAAAAUUUGGUUUCAUUGCUUUUGAAGAUAAGAGGAUGCUGAUGGGUCAUGGAGUCAUAUGGGUACAACAGGAACUGUUCAUUCCUUACUAGUCAAGAAAGAUGCAAAAGAAAUAGCUAGUCUGUCACUAAAGCAACUGUCAGUUGUUUGUAUCAAUCUUUGUUCAUACUGUUUCUUUAAUCAUUAUGGCUCAGGGUGUUGUUGAAAAUAUCAACAUGUAUGUUUUUAGUUUUGAUUCAUUUCUAUUUUAAAUUUAAUUUUUAUCCUUCCUUUUUGGGUUUAGGUUUGAGGGGUUUUUUAAAUUUUGGUAUUUCCUAUUCUGUUGCUUUUCCUGUUCCGUGUUCUCUAUGCUUAGCUGUAGUUAUCAGUAUCAUGUAAUAGCAGUUGUUUCUUUUCCUGUCUACAUGAAAUGUUUCAUUCCUGU